rnacentral:piRNA from 1 species
AAAUUUGGGGAAGAAGAAGUAUGA